CUUCUCCACACACAUAAAUAAAUAAGGAGCACGCUCCAAAAAAGGGAUCGAUUCUUGUGUGGCAGAAACAGAAUGUCUGCUUCCUUGCUUCACUGACUCCAUUCCCUUCAGCUCUCUUUCUGAGGAUAAGAACACCACACCACACUGCGGAGAAUGACCUGGCUUGAGGCCACCCCACCUGGACUGUGAGACAAUUGGUGGCUGGACUCAAGGCUAGGCUCCUUGGGGAAGGUGGGCGCACAUGGGGAAUGGAUGGGAAGGCCGAGUGCAGUGCCUAGAUUGUGCCUAAACACCAGCGUGGUGACUGCAAGGUGUUCCUUGCAUUUAGGGACCACCUCAAGUGACAGAGCCCCGCCAUGGUGGGACAGCUCAGGUGGGGAGGUGAAAGCCGCAAGAGGCAUGGUGAGGACUCCUCAGGCUUAGGGAUAGCUGUCUCCACAGCUAGCUAAACCCCAAGGCAAGUCUGGAGCUAAGUCUCUAACCAGCAGCUCUAGCACAGGGUGAUAGGCUCUGCUGUGGACCCAGGAUAGCCACAAAAAAAUGACAGCUCUCUGACUUCAGAAUAAGAGUCCUCCCCAGCAGGCUCCCAGCAGGCCCCUACAUGUCACUUAGUACCCAGGGCCUUUAUCUUUGCAUAUGUCUGCUUAGACAGUUCAGCAGCGCCAACUAUGGCCUUUUUUUUUUUCUUCUUCUUCUUUUUUUUUUUUUUUUUUAGCAAAAGUGGUACCAGUGCAGGGCCAAGUGCGUUGCUCUCUUCUGUGAAGGUCAUUCAAGGGCACCAACGAGCCAGGAGGGGCCCGCUGGACAGUGGGAGCAUAGCUGCUAGGGUCACAUAACUCCAGGCAUCUUGAGCUGGGUGCAUGCCAAGGCCGGCUGUUGCAGCAGGACAGGGCUCAGCCUUGGUGGUAGUGGUGCGGAUGGCGGCUGUGCUCUUCCCUGGGCCCCACAACUCUGGGGUUCCAGGAGUGCUUCUCCUUCUUUCGUGACCUA
rnacentral:lncRNA from 1 species